rnacentral:rRNA from 1 species
GGAUCCAGACUUUGAUCAUGGCUCAGGAUGAACGCUGGCGGCGUGCCUAACACAUGCAAGUCGAACGAAGCUUGACGGAUGAUUUCUUCGGAAUGAAACCAGAUAUGACUUAGUGGCGGACGGGUGAGUAACACGUGAGCAACCUGCCUUUCAGAGGGGGAUAACGGCUGGAAACGGUCGCUAAUACCGCAUGAUGUGUUCGGAUGGCAUCAUCUGAACAUCAAAGAUUUAUCGCUGAAAGAUGGGCUCGCGUCUGAUUAGAUAGUUGGUGGGGUAACGGCCUACCAAGUCGACGAUCAGUAGCCGGACUGAGAGGUUGAACGGCCACAUUGGGACUGAGAUACGGCCCAGACUCCUACGGGAGGCAGCAGUGGGGAAUAUUGCACAAUGGGGGAAACCCUGAUGCAGCAACGCCGCGUGAAGGAUGACGGUUUUCGGAUUGUAAACUUCUUUUCUUAGUGACGAAGACAGUGACGGUAGCUAAGGAAUAAGCAUCGGCUAACUACGUGCCAGCAGCCGCGGUAAUACGUAGGAUGCAAGCGUUAUCCGGAUUUACUGGGUGUAAAGGGAGCGCAGGCGGGACUGCAAGUUGGAUGUGAAAUACCGUGGCUUAACCACGGAACUGCAUCCAAAACUGUAGUUCUUGAGUGAAGUAGAGGCAAGCGGAAUUCCGAGUGUAGCGGUGAAAUGCGUAGAUAUUCGGAGGAACACCAGUGGCGAAGGCGGCUUGCUGGGCUUUAACUGACGCUGAGGCUCGAAAGUGUGGGGAGCAAACAGGAUUAGAUACCCUGGUAGUCCACACUGUAAACGAUGAUAGCUAGGUGUGGGGGGUCUGACCCCUUCCGUGCCGGAGUUAACGCAAUAAGCUAUCCACCUGGGGAGUACGACCGCAAGGUUGCAACUCAAAGGAAUUGACGG